UGCAGCCACACGACAUUGAAACACUGGUUCCCAUAUGAUCACCAAAUUUAAGCAACAUCAAGCCUGGUCAGUACCUAGAUGGGUGACUGCUUGGGAAUACCAGAUGCUGUAA
rnacentral:rRNA from 1 species